UAGAUCGAACAGACAGAGACAGAAGACGCCCAUGGGACCAGCAGGGGGAAUCAUACCAUCAGAGGGGCGAGGCAGUUGGUCCAUUACUGUGUAAUGGGAGGAAAUGGAUCUAAGCAUCCUCCCCCAAGCUGCAAGGGAUCCCUUCUUCCCACAUCUCAAACGUCCUUGCCUUUCCGAGAGGAGUCACAUUUGAUUUUACUUUGUGGUCACCUUGACUUCUACCGGGUAACUCCCUGCAAGAGCGUGAAGACACUUCCAUCGCUGCUCCAGGCUUCCUCUGCCCUCUGUCUCCAUGACUGCCCGUCUUGGAUGCUGUAGCUCAUAGACCUGGUGCACUGAGAAGUCUCAGGAAUGACCCCCUUCUCCUUCCUGCUCAGCUUCCUCUGACUCAUCGAUUGAUUUCAAGGCGAUGCGACUCUCUACCUCCCCUGAGAUUCCUGCACUCUGGGGAGUGACUUCUGGUUCUUUACUCCCUGGUCUGGGAUGGCUGAGGAGGUGGGACUGCUACAGGUUUUACCAGCAGGGAAGAGAGUCAGAUGCUAGGCCCAGAAAGACAACGCUUGGCCUCCAGCUACUUGUUCAUGGAGGAGAGAGGGGCCGGUGCCAUGCCGACUGAUCUGUCUCAGCUACAAGCCCUUCACAAUGGAAGUUUGUCUUUGCGUGGGCUCCACAGAAGCAACAGCUGAGUAGGAUAUGCGUGGGAAACGGAGUCGCCAGAGAGACGCUUCCAGAAGGAAGGUCUGUCACUAGGUCCUGGAGCUGGCCAGGCAGCCUAGGGUAGCUGACCCCGCAAAGCCCAGGAGCCUCCUGUCUUCAGCUCUUCACAGUUGAGCCCACAAUCUCACCUCACAUCACCACUGCUUAUGUGCGUUCUGAGACUCAAGCUCACAUCCUCAUGCUUUCGAACCAAGCAGUGUGCCAACAGAUCCAGCCCCCAGUUCGGGAACUCUUUCGGGACCCAAAUCAGUGGUCAGAAACCAAAGCUGAAGAUACCUUCUGACUCCAGGAGCUUGGUGACCAAUGACUCUAAACUUCAGCAUCUUGGUAAUUCUGUGACGCUCCAAGGAGCUGUCUCCCUGCUUGGCACAGAAAGGGCAAUGUCAGGAGUGGGCUGCCAUGCCUGUUGAAAAGUCCCCGUGAUCUGCUCCUCUUGUUUAUGUACUGUCCUGGGGAAGGUAACAAUUUAGAUGGCAAAUUGCGCUGCCAGGGCUGGGAGUCACAGUCUUAAUUCCCGAGUAUUUACUGUGACAGGUUUAAUGUUCUAAUAUCUCAGGGAGUACCCAGGCUCCACUCCAGAGCAGACAAGAUAGGAAUGGCCAAGACGCCUCACUUGGCUUUUUAUCCUGACAAUUUAUGAAACCUGAUGCUUCCAUUAGCUCUUAGGCUCUGGGGCCCUGGAGCAAGAUCUGGGGAGCACCCCAGCUCUGACUGACUGCUGCCUGUCUCUCGUCCCUGAGUGAGCCCCUGGCACUAGCCUUCCUGCGGGGGAUCCUUGGCAGGCCCCUCCUUGAUGGCCUGUAGCUCCACAUUACUUGGCAGCGGAUGGCGAUGCCUGCUUCAGUCAGGCUGUGGGGGACCUGAGGCAGCAUCGGUGACAUAGCAACCUCGCUUCCAAAUUCAGCCUCAAGCAAACAUCCGCAUUAGUGAUUCGUUUCCACCCUGGGAUCCUCAGUGUGCUGUGGCUCAGACAGCCUCCUCCGCUAGCAGAGCGGAUGCUCCAGCACUGGGUGGAAGCACUCCUAAGUCCAGUGGACAAAACCAGGCCACACUAUCUCCCUCCAUUUCUCCCCACAUUCCUGCCCAUAGGUCUGUGUGGACAGAAGGAGCUGAGGGCCCUUCCUACCUUAUAUAAGAGGGGGGGGGCGGUGGAGAAGGGGAGAAAGAAUCACUCUGUAGCCCAGGCUAGCUUUAAACUUGUAACAAACCUCUUGCCUCAGUCUCCUGAAUUCUGAGGUGACAGGUGCGAACCAUCCCCAGCAAAAUAAAUUGUUACAAAGAAAUUUGCUGGGAGCCUUU